rnacentral:rRNA from 1 species
AUUGAACGCUGGCGGCAGGCUUAACACAUGCAAGUCGAGCGGAGUGAUGGUGCUUGCACCAUCACUUAGCGGCGAACGGGUGAGUAAUGCCUAGGUAUCUGCCCAUUAGCGGGGGACUACGUGUGGAAACGCACGCUAAUACCGCAUACGCCCUACGGGGGAAAGCAGGGGACUUUGUGAGCUUUGCACUAUUGGAUGAGCCUCGGUCCGAUUCGCUAGUUGGUGGGGUAAAGGCCUACCAAGGCGACGAACUGGAGCCGGACUGAGAGGAUGAUCCGGCACACUGGAACUGGGACCGGGUCCAGACGCCUACGGGAAGGAGCCAUGGGGAAUAUUGAGCAAUGGGCGCAAACCUGAUCCAGCCAUGCCGCGUGUGUGAAGAAGGCCUUUUGGUUGUAAAGCACUUUAAGCGAGGAGGAGGCUUAACUGGUUAAUACCUGAGAUAAGUGGACGUUACCCGCAGAAUAAGCACCGGCUAACUCUGUG